rnacentral:rRNA from 1 species
UACGAAGGGGGCUAGCGUUGCUCGGAAUCACUGGGCGUAAAGCGCACGUAGGCGGACUCUUAAGUCGGUGGUGAAAUCCUGGAGCUCAACUCCAGAACUGCCUUCGAUACUGGGAGUCUUGAGUCCGAGAGAGGUGAGUGGAACUCCAGGUGUAGCGGUGAAAUGCGUAGAUAUCUGGAGGAACACCGGUGGCGAAGGCGGCAUCCUGGACCGGUAUUGACGCUGAGGCGCGAAAGCUAGGGGAGCAAACGGG